rnacentral:rRNA from 1 species
CCCUUAGAGUUUGAUCCUGGCUCAGGAUGAACGCUAGCGACAGGCUUAACACAUGCAAGUCGAGGGGCAGCGGGGGUAGCAAUACCGGCUGGCGACCGGCGCACGGGUGAGUAACGCGUAUGCAACUUACCUAUCAGAGGGGGAUAACCCGGCGAAAGUCGGACUAAUACCGCAUGAAGCAGGGGCCCCGCAUGGGGAUAUUUGCUAAAGAUUCAUCGCUGAUAGAUAGGCAUGCGUUCCAUUAGGCAGUUGGCGGGGUAACGGCCCACCAAACCGACGAUGGAUAGGGGUUCUGAGAGGAAGGUCCCCCACAUUGGUACUGAGACACGGACCAAACUCCUACGGGAGGCAGCAGUGAGGAAUAUUGGUCAAUGGGCGUAAGCCUGAACCAGCCAAGUCGCGUGAGGGAUGAAGGUUCUAUGGAUCGUAAACCUCUUUUACAAGGGAAUAAAGUGUGGGACGUGUCCUAUUUAGUAUGUACCUUAGAAUAAGCAU